rnacentral:rRNA from 1 species
GACGAACGCUGGCGGCGUGCCUAAUACAUGCAAGUAGAACGCUGAAGGAGGAGCUUGCUUCUCUGGAUGAGUUGCGAACGGGUGAGUAACGCGUAGGUAACCUGCCUGGUAGCGGGGGAUAACUAUUGGAAACGAUAGCUAAUACCGCAUAAUAGUAGAUGUCGCAUGACAUUUGCUUAAAAGGUGCAAUUGCAUCACUACCAGAUGGACCUGCGUUGUAUUAGCUGGUUGGUGAGGUAACGGCUCACCAAGGCAACGAUACAUAGCCGACCUGAGAGGGUGAGCGGCCACACUGGGACUGAGACACGGCCCAGACUCCUACGGGAGGCAGCAGUAGGGAAUCUUCGGCAAUGGACGGAAGUCUGACCGAGCAACGCCGCGUGAGUGAAGAAGGUUUUCGGAUCGUAAAGCUCUGUUGUAAGAGAAGAACGAGUGUGAGAGUGGAAAGUUCACACUGUGACGGUAUCUUACCAGAAAGGGACGGCUAACUACGUG